AACACCAAAAAAGAAGUUAAUGGCAUGGAGAAAUAAAGGGUUCGCAGCUUGAAGAAGAUGAUGAUGAAGCAGAAAAGUGAAAUUAUGUAGGACAAGAAGAUGUUGUAUAAUGAAUUAGAAGUUUGGGAAAGGAUUGAAGUUGGACAGGGG